GGCGCGACCGUGUCUGGUGCCGCAGGGAAGCCGUGAAGCGAGCCACCUGGGAAGUACGGCCGCAAGGCUGAAACUUAAAGGAAUUCGGCGGGGGAGCACAACAACGGGUGGAGCCUGCGGUUUAAUUGGACUCAACGCCGGACAACUCACCGGGGGCGACAGCAAUAUGUAGGCCAAGCUGAAGACUUUGCCUGAAUCGCUGAGAGGGUGCAUG
rnacentral:rRNA from 1 species